CCUACGGUGGGCUGCAGUCGAGAAUCAUUCACACUUGGGGAAACCCUGAUGGUGCGACGCCGCGUGGGGGAAUGAAGGUCUUCGGAUUGUAAACCCCUGUCAUGUGGGAGCAAAUUAAAAAGAUAGUACCACAAGAGGAAGAGACGGCUAACUCUGUGCCAGCAGCCGAGGUAAUACAGAGGUCUCAAGCUUUAUUCGGAAUCACUGGACGUAAAGCGUGCGUAGGCUGUUUCGUAAGUAGUGUGUGAAAUGCGCGGGCUCAACCCGCGGACUGCACAUGAUACUGCGAGACUAGAGGAAGGGAGGGGGAACCAGAAUUCUCGGUGUAGCAGUGAAAUGCGUAGAUAUCGAGAGGAACACUAGUGGCGAAGGCGGGUUCCUGGACAUUAACUGACGCUGAGGCACGAAGGCCAGGGGAGCGAAAGGGAUUAGAUACCCGAGUAGUC
rnacentral:rRNA from 1 species